UUCCAUAUGGAUUUGAGUGCGCUUACGUAAAACGUUUCAUUAGCACGCUAAAUGUAAAUGGCGGGUGGGGAUAUUUUAAUCAAAUUAAGACUUUAAUAUACAAUUCACGUAUUUUACUGAAAGCCACGAAUGAAAAGUCUGUCACUACCAUAUAUGGAUUACCUUGUAAUGUGAUUUUUGGAAUUGAGCACAACGUCGGUUCUUUCGGAUUCCCAUAAACGUACACGUUGUGGACGACGUGAAAGUGAAGAUUUCCCAAAGCACCACUCCAAAGCUCCAGAUGUCGCUCUCUGUGGUGAACUUUCUGUACAUUAUGCUUUCUGGUGGCAUCCAGCGAAUGGGAAGCAUAGUCCUUCCACCAACCUGAUGAUGUAGUCAGUGCUGUAAAUAUCUCUUGACAUCCCGAAGUCCCCGAUCUUCACCACCAGACCUUCUCCAACUAAACAGUUUCUGGUGGCCAAGUCUCUGUGGACGAAGUGCAGAG